rnacentral:tRNA from 4 species
GCCCCCUUAGCUUAGUGGUAAAGCAGCUGUUUUGUAAACAGUCGACAACAGUUCGAUUCUGUUAGGGGGCUCCA